CAUCGUGGUAGGCUGUGAAUUAAAAGGGCUUGAGAAGAACUGUGUAACAGGCAAUCGGUUCUACUUCUAGAUGGGCUACAAGGCUCUGAACGCACCAUUCGUUCAUUCUUUCAGCAAGAAGUAACCAGGCUGUAAGAGCUGCCCCUCUGCGUGUCCUCUGGCGUCUCACGAAGGAGCGAAGCGCGGGUCGGUGUCCACGGUACUAAGCAGGUCCGGCGGGCUUCCGGAGGGGCCGCCUCUGUCCAGAGUGCUGAAGCAUCAUCCCGCCUCCACGGCCGCAGCCGCGGCGUGGCCACCAUGCCCCACCGUGCUUGGGUCACACUGCAGUGAUAGCUGCUGGAAAUCGCGGAGCUGAAGUAUAAUUCCACCGUCAUCUGACGUCUCUUGAAACUCAUCCAG
rnacentral:lncRNA from 1 species